rnacentral:lncRNA from 1 species
UUGAGUUUCUGUGGAACUUUCUUGUCACACAUGACUCAUGAUGCAAGCCUUCACUUUGACCACCCCGCUCCUAUACGAUGAGUGACGUCCCCGUCAAUCUCUCCGUCCGCCUGAAUCACCGACCCAAGAUAUCUGACACUGUCCCUCUUGACAAUGACCUGAGAUCCAAUCAUCACGUCCCUGCCUACUUCGCUUGGCUCGGCGCUAAACUUGCACUCCAUGUAUUCUGUCUUAAAUCUGCUUAUUUUGAA